AACGAACGCUGGCGGCAGGCUUAACACAUGCAAGUCGAGCGCCCCGCAAGGGGAGCGGCAGACGGGUGAGUAACGCGUGGGAAUCUACCCAUCUCUACGGAAUAACGCAUGGAAACGUGUGCUAAUACCGUAUACAUCCUUCGGGAGAAGGAUUUAUCGGAGAUGGAUGAGCCCGCGUUGGAUUAGCUAGUUGGUGGGGUAAAGGCCUACCAAGGCGACGAUCCAUAGCUGGUCUGAGAGGAUGAUCAGCCACACUGGGACUGAGACACGGCCCAGACUCCUACGGGAGGCAGCAGUGGGGGAUAUUGGACAAUGGGCGCAAGCCUGAUCCAGCCAUGCCGCGUGAGUGAUGAAGGCCCUAGGGUUGUAAAGCUCUUUCACCGGUGAAGAUAAUGACGGUAACCGGAGAAGAAGCCCCGGCUAACUUCGUGCCAGCAGCCGCGGUAACAC
rnacentral:rRNA from 1 species